rnacentral:rRNA from 1 species
GACGAACGCUGGCGGCGUGCUUAACACAUGCAAGUCGGGCGGUAAGGCCCUUCGGGGUACACGAGCGGCGAACGGGUGAGUAACACGUGGGUGGCCUGCCCUUAGCUCUGGGAUAAGCCUGGGCAACUGGGUCUAACACUGGCUAUGACCUCAUGCUGCAUGGUGUGGUGUGGCAAGCUUUGGCGACGAGGGAUGGGCCCGCGGCCUAUCAGCGUGUUGGUGGGGGGGUGGCCGACCAAGGCGACGACGGGUAGCCGGCCUGAGAGGGCGAGCGGCCACAAGGGGACUGAGACACGGCCCAGAGUCCUACGGGAGGCAGCAGGGGGGAAUCUUGCGCAAUGGGCGAAAGCCUGACGCAGCGACGCCGCGUGAGGAAUGACGGCCUUCGGGUUGUAAACCUCUUUCAGCCCUGACGAAGCGAAAGUGACGGUAGGGGCAGAAGAAGCACCGGCCAACUACGUGCCAGCCGCCGCAGUAAGAC